ACUGACGCAAGAGGCUUGGAGGUACAAACACGGGUCAGCAGGAAUGGGAACAUGUCAGAAACUGGACCACCAGGAGUUCAGGCUGUAGAGGCCAUUGAAGACCGUCGCUGAACUUAACGGCAAGAAGCUCAGGCAUAAUAGGAAGACACUGAACAUAGAGCAAUCUGACUGUCAGAAUGUUCAUAGAUUAAAUGCUAGAGAUCCUGAUGGUUUACAUACAAACCUUUCCAAAACUGAAUCCAGAAUCAGCCUUUCAGAAGAGCUUGUAGGAAUCCAGGGAGGAAGUCCAGAGGAAGGCAAUUCAGUCACACGUUCAGAGAUUACAGGAUUGUUGUGUGUUUGUGUAAAUUCAGUUAAAGUCAUUGCAUUCACUUUCUGCAACAAAAGAGCCAGGAUCCUCUGGGCAAGAUCUGAUUCAUUGCACAAUCCUGACUCAUCUCCAUGCCGUGGUUCAUUCUGUGCACUGAGCAGCAAUAUACAGCUCUUAUACCAACAAGCUGGAUAUGCUUCCUUAAAAAUGAUGGAAGAGAAUGACAGACUCAUCCCUGAGAGGCCUGGUGAUCCCAGGUAUUUCCCUGCCUCUCUAACCUGAUGUGACUCCAGUGACUGCUUUUGACAACUCUGUGUCUGUGCUGGUGCUGUGUGUGUAGGUUAAAUGGAUAAAAUCCUAAAACAGUUCAUGAGGUGUGUGGGAGAAGAGUGCUGAGAUGGAGAGAAGGAAUUCUGGUUGCAAAGAGGCUUAAGGGAAUUUACUGGUAGGACAAGGAAGCCUGAUUUACCUCUGGAAGGAUGUGUCUUGCUGUUUCCCACCACUGACCCAGACUGCUGAUGGUGUGAUCCUCACCUGUGAAAGACAACAGGAUGCCCUCCACCCUGAAAGGUUAAGAAGUGCACUGCACCAUAAUCAAUGUAUCACCUCCCUCCUUAAAAAGACCAAGAUAAAAUCAGUUCUUCUCUUCCUUUUCCUCAUGGGUGACAGAGCUAUAUGUAUGUAUCACAGUGUCUGUGAAGGUGCUAAGUGUCUCUGCUGGGACUGUCAGUGAGUGCUCAGUGCGUAAGAAAGAUAGUUCCUAGUGGUUUUCUCAUGUCUGUGGUCCUUUGGAUACUUCUGGAACUCUUCAAGGUGCAAGUGUGCUUUCUAACUCCCAGUUUUUGGAGCAUGGUGCAGCAGUGUAGGUGGCACCAUUAAUACACUAAAGGUCUGCAAGUCUAUCCUGAGACAGGGACAUUUUGCAUAAGCACCCAUGUGUGGAGUGUAACAACAGCAUGCUGUGGUAAUAAGGGCCUGGUUCAGGUCUGCUGCAACAGCUUCGCUCAUGGUUGGCUGGCUGGGGCUGUUCCAGGUGGGUCAUGCGCUAGUAUACAGAAGCACGGGUUGCAUGAGCAGUGUCCUGUAAGGUGAUCCUAUGAACAGAAACCCUUAGGAUACUGUCUUGGUGCUCCUGAGGGACCCUCAGCACCCUAGCAAGUACUCCCAGAGCUCAGUCUUGCAGACCACCAAGGGCUUCAGGUCUGAAGGACCAGUGUGCCACUGGUAUAGGGCAUUAUAGGCCUACCAGCACUGCUUCAGUGGUUGGAAGAAUUCCUGUCCCUCCUGCAUUUCAGUCAGACAGGAUCACCCUUCACAUUACCCAUGCCAGGAGGAGAGAUUGAGAACUCAGUGCCAGCACUGAGAAACAGAAGGUCAAGUGUUUGAUGGAUUUUUGUGCCCUAGGAUGGAGCACACUCACUGAAUCUGUAUGUGCAGUAAAUGUGAAGAGCCUCUGGCACACAGGAGCUGAGAGUGACAGAACAUUCAUGGACUUGAGCUCACAAGCUCCCAUAAGUUUUUACAGAACAUGUUUGCACUGAGAUUUUCAGAGGGUUGUUGCUUGGCCCAAAUUUGUGCAGUGACUCAUAGGAGCAGUGAGAAGCACAUCCCAGAUGCAGACAGCUCCUCUGUUAGAUUUUGACACUCUGCAUCACCCUUUACCAGAACAGUCUUGUGUUUCUUUUAUUAAGAUGAGCAUUCUUCAAUGUUUCAUUCUCACUGACAGCUGAACCCAUGUUUUAAUAAACAAGCAAACAAAAUACCCUUCAGGUCCUCAGCAGUCAGCCAGCACAGAAAAUCUCGCUCAGACAGUUAAGGUUAAAAGUUGUAAUGUACUGACCAUACUGAUAACAAACCUAAUAAUGAAAGUGUCAUUAACUUAACUACGUGUGUGCACAUGCUUAGCCCAACACAAGUUAUGACAGGCAAUAACUUACAAGCUACUAAAUUAAUGAGAUCUUGUAUCUUCUAUUUCUGCAGCUGUGUUCCUCAAAUCAGUUUAGUGAUGCAAAGCAUUAAUUCUAGGUACUUCCUGCUUUGGUAAAUAGACAAUAAGCCAGUGGGCAUCCAAAGGUUGGGCACAUACUUUAUGCAGUGCAAAUACCAAGGUGAAAAGGACGUGAAGUACCACUUGAGUUUUGCUGCACAAGUGCAUCAGUUCAAAGGCUUCUGGAAAGGCGCCCAGAAAUAUUUCCCAUAUUGGCUGGUAAAGAGAUCUGAAGCAAGCCUAGUGCAGGAAAGCAGCUUUGCAGGUCUAAGUGAUACUAAUAAGGAGAGACACUCCUGGCGUUCAGGUUAAAGAGGGCUACACUGCUGGUCUGGAAGUGCUUUGUUUUUCUCUCCUUAAAACAAGGAAAGAAGCUAUAAAUUCUAUCUGCUUACCUCAUGAAUGAUCCUCAGGGCAACUGGGGAAUCAGGACAUUCCAGCCUUCACCCAAAUGUCACUUGCGCAUACCAGUGGCAUCGCAUUCAAGGGCUGUUGUGCAGCUGCUGUGUAGCCCCAGUUCUGGUCUGUACUUCCAGUUUUGGGGUGCCCUUGGGUUAGCAUCUGUACCACCCAUGCUUGGUGAGGAGGAGUAAGGGAGAAGGAAAGAUUUUAUUUGAGUUGUAAUGUUCUGGUGGGGAUGUGCCCCAGUACCCUUAUUGUAAGAGCUUCUUCCACUCCAUGAUCAGAGCGUGAAAUGUAUUUUUACUCUGUUAAGCUUAGUUUAAAAUGAGAUCAUUUUGAAGUAAAAAAACAGAAAUUAUCAAUUUGAAAAUUGUCAAAAUAAUCUUUUCAUAACAUUUUUAAAAUAAAAAUGCCCUGAUCUGGAGGAUCUGCCUCCUCUGUGGGAGAUCUCCAGUGAGAAAACGUUAGCUUCAGUGAAAAGCUGAUAUUAUCUUGUUCUUUUUCUUUCAAGGCUUUUCUUUCAUUAUGGUUACUUGCUUUUACAUAUAUUCUUACCUUAGAGUAAUUGAUAGCUCAUUCUGCAAAAUAGGGGUGCUUGAAAGCACAUAUGCAUAUAGAACUGUGAUUUUUUUUUACUACUUGUUAUUAACAUUGAUCUAAUUCUGACAGUGUUAUGAGUUUCAAUUUAGUUCUUGUCAGGUUAUAACAUUCUGAUCUCUGUUUAUUCUGAUCACUGCUUAACACAGCACAGAGUGGGGAGAAGUGAAUAAAGGGGAAAUAUGGUUAAAGCACUAAAAGAGACUUUGUUCCUUGCAGGACAAG